rnacentral:rRNA from 1 species
CAAUAGCGUAUAUUAAAGUUGUUGCAGUUAAAAAGCUCGUAGUUGAAUUUUUGCUUGCCGCCGAUGUCGGAACUUCCGUACGUUCGGCGGCGUGCAUCCUUGGGUGGAACCUGUGUGGCAUUAGGUUGUCGUGCAGGGGAUGCUCAUCGUUUACUGUGAAAAAAUUAGAGUGUUCAAAGCAGGCUUACGCCGUUGAAUAUAUUAGCAUGGAAUAAUAAGAUAGGACCUUGGUACUAUUUUGUUGGUUUGCGCACCGAGGUAAUGAUUAACAGGGACAGUUGGGGGUAUUCGUAUUCCAUUGUCAGAGGUGAAAUUCUUGGAUUUCUGGAAGACGAACUACUGCGAAAGUAUUUACCAAGGAUGUUUUCAUUAA